AUUGAAAGCAUAGAUAGAAUAACAAUUGAUAUAACAGAGUUAAAAGGAUUGUCUUCAUCUUCUGUUCAAUCAGUUUCUCGUCCAAAAAAAUCAAAAGGUCGAUGAAAUGUUUAUUGCAUUGGAACAAAAACAAAACAACAUCGAACAAUGAAUUGAACCAAGUAGACUCCCAAUGGCCAGAGAUAAAAGAUUUUAUGGUUAAAAAAGUGGAACAUGAGAACGAACAAGUCUGAAGUGUUUUAUUUUAUAAAAUUUUUAGAUUUUAUUUUGAAAGAUGAUGUUUUUUAUUGA